CCUACGGGGGGCAGCAGUGGGGAAUAUUGCGCAAUGGGCGAAAGCCUGACGCAGCGACGCCGCGUGAGGGAUGAAGGUCUUCGGAUCGUAAACCUCUGUCAGCAGGGAAGUACGGUCACUGUGCUAAUCAGCAGUGAAUUGACGGUACCUGCAAAGGAAGCACCGGCUAACUCCGUGCCAGCAGCCGCGGUAAUACGGAGGGUGCGAGCGUUAAUCGGAAUUACUGGGCGUAAAGCGCUCGUAGGCGGUAUGUCAAGUCAAGGGUGAAAGCCCCGGGCUCAACGUGGGAACUGCCUUUGAAACUGGCAAACUGGAGUGUGUGAGAGGAUAGUGGAAUUCCAGGUGUAGGAGUGAAAUCCGUAGAUAUCUGGAGGAACAUCAGUGGCGAAGGCGACUAUCUGGCACAUAACUGACGCUGAGGAGCGAAAGCGUGGGUAGCAAACAGGAUUAGAUACCCCAGUAGUC
rnacentral:rRNA from 1 species